CCAGACUCCUACGGGAGGCAGCAGUGAGGAAUAUUGGUCAAUGGACGAGAGUCUGAACCAGCCAAGUAGCGUGAAGGAUGACUGCCCUAUGGGUUGUAAACUUCUUUUAUAUGGGAAUAAAAUGUUCCACGUGUGGGAUUUUGUAUGUACCAUAUGAAUAAGGAUCGGCUAACUCCGUGCCAGCAGCCGCGGUAAUACGGAGGAUCCGAGCGUUAUCCGGAUUUAUUGGGUUUAAAGGGUGCGUAGGCGGCCUUUUAAGUCAGCGGUGAAAGUCUGUGGCUCAACCAUAGAAUUGUCGUUGAAACUGGGGGGCUUGAGUAUGUUUGAGGCAGGCGGAAUGCGUGGUGUAGCGGUGAAAUGCAUAGAUAUCACGAAGAACUCCGAUUGCGAAGGCAGCUCACUGGACUGCAACUGACACUGAUGCUCGAAAGUGUGGGUAUCAAACAGGAUUAGAUACCCCCGUAGU
rnacentral:rRNA from 1 species